AGUGAACGCUGGCGGUAGGCCUAACACAUGCAAGUCGAACGGCAGCACAGUAAGAGCUUGCUCUUACUGGUGGCGAGUGGCGGACGGGUGAGGAAUACAUCGGAAUCUACUUUUUCGUGGGGGAUAACGUAGGGAAACUUACGCUAAUACCGCAUACGACCUACGGGUGAAAGCAGGGGAUCUUCGGACCUUGCGCGAUUGAAUGAGCCGAUGUCGGAUUAGCUAGUUGGCAGGGUAAAGGCCCACCAAGGCAACGAUCCGUAGCUGGUCUGAGAGGAUGAUCAGCCACACUGGAACUGAGACACGGUCCAGACUCCUACGGGAGGCAGCAGUGGGGAAUAUUGGACAAUGGGCGCAAGCCUGAUCCAGCCAUACCGCGUGGGUGAAGAAGGCCUUCGGGUUGUAAAGCCCUUUUGUUGGGAAAGAAAAGCAGCAGGUUAAUACCCCGCUGUUCUGACGGUACCCAAAGAAUAAGCACCGGCUAACUUCGUG
rnacentral:rRNA from 1 species